UACGUAGGGUGCAAGCGUUGUCCGGAAUUAUUGGGCGUAAAGAGCUCGUAGGCGGUUUGUCGCGUCGAAUGUGAAAACCCGGGGCUCAACCCCGGGCCUGCAUUCGAUACGGGCAGACUAGAGUUCGGUAGGGGAGUCUGGAAUUCCUGGUGUAGCGGUGAAAUGCGCAGAUAUCAGGAGGAACACCGGUGGCGAAGGCGGAUCUCUGGGCCGUAACUGACGCUGAGGAGCGAAAGCAUGGGGAGCGAACAGG
rnacentral:rRNA from 1 species